rnacentral:rRNA from 13 species
GCUGCUCCUAGUACGAGAGGACCGGAGUGGACGAACCUCUAGUGUACCUGUUGUGUGGUCGCAUGCAUCGCAGGGUAGCUAUGUUCGGAAGUGAUAAGCCGCUGAACGCAUCUAAGCGCGAAGCACGCUCCAAGAUAAGUAUUCCCUAUGAGUCUCCCGGAAGACGACCGGGUAGAUAGGUGGCAGGUGUACGCAUGGUGACAUGUUUAGCCGAGCCAUACUAAUUAGAC